UACGUAGGGGGCUAGCGUUGUCCGGAAUUAUUGGGCGUAAAGAGCUCGUAGGCGGUCUGUCGCGUCGGAUGUGAAAGCCCGGGGCUUAACCCCGGGUCUGCAUUCGAUACGGGCAGACUAGAGUGUGGUAGGGGAGAUCGGAAUUCCUGGUGUAGCGGUGAAAUGCGCAGAUAUCAGGAGGAACACCGGUGGCGAAGGCGGAUCUCUGGGCCAUUACUGACGCUGAGGAGCGAAAGCGUGGGGAGCGAACAGG
rnacentral:rRNA from 1 species